rnacentral:rRNA from 1 species
GAUGAACGCUGGCGGCGUGCCUAAUACAUGCAAGUCGAGCGAAUGGAUUAAGAGCUUGCUCUUAUGAAGUUAGCGGCGGACGGGUGAGUAACACGUGGGUAACCUGCCCAUAAGACUGGGAUAACUCCGGGAAACCGGGGCUAAUACCGGAUAACAUUUUGAACCGCAUGGUUCGAAAUUGAAAGGCGGCUUCGGCUGUCACUUAUGGAUGGACCCGCGUCGCAUUAGCUAGUUGGUGAGGUAACGGCUCACCAAGGCAACGAUGCGUAGCCGACCGAAGAGGGGGCUCGGCCACACUGAGACUGAGAAACGGCCUAUACACCUACGGGAGGCAGAAGUAGGGAAUCUUCCGCAAUGGACGAAGGUCUGACGGAGCAAAGCCGCGUGAGUGAUGAAGGCUUUCGGGUCGUAACAAUCUGUUGUUAGGGAAGAACAAGUGCUAGUUGAAUAGGCUGGCACCUUGACGGUACCUAACCAGAAAGCCACGGCUAACUACGUGCCAGCCGCCGCCGUAA